UACGUAGGCAGCAAGCGUUGUUCGGAGUUACUGGGCGUAAAGAGUGCGUAGGUGGUGCCCUAAGUCUGUUGUGAAAUCUCCCGGCUUAACUGGGAGGGUGCGGUGGAAACUGGGGUGCUUGAGUUGUGGGAGAGGUAAGCGGAAUUCCUGGUGUAGCGGUGAAAUGCGUAGAUAUCAGGAGGAACACCGGUGGUGUAGACGGCUUACUGGACCACGACUGACACUGAGGCACGAAAGCGUGGGUAGCAAACAGGAUAGAUACCCCGAGUAGUC
rnacentral:rRNA from 1 species